UUCCCUUGCACGUCUUCUUAUCCAUAUUGUCCAAAUAGCAGAUAAUAUUGCUUUGAAUCCUUAACCUGCUAAGAGUUUAUUUUUACAAGAUUGAGUUUAACAGCUCAACAAAUCUAAGAGCUUUCAUGUCGCACAUAACACAUAAUUUCAUGCUAACAUAUAUCUCAAUUUAAGAUAAAUAUAAGUUCCACAUGCCCAACAUAUCGCAUAUCACAUAUUGAGUUCCAUAACUCAACCAAAUAUUAUCAUAAUUUGACUUUCGAGAUUCAUAUACACAUCAUAUGUAAUACAACAUGCUCAUCGCAAUACAGUUUAUAGACAAUCCGUAUCAAAUUCAUGUAGCAAAUAGAAACAUGAAGACUUGCCUAGCGAGUUGAUUACAACAUAGCUACAUGUGAUUUACAAAUCCUACACAACCAUAUAAUCAUGCAUAUACACAUUAGCUAUACAAUCCAUGUCAACUUAGUUCACAUUUAAUUUAAUGUACCAUUUUAGUUUGCCUUACCUCUAUCUUUCUUAUUGGGUUUUAUUUAUAAAAACUUCUUAUUCCAUAUUCCCUUGAUAACACCAUUAUAUGUUAGGUCAUGUUAAACAUCUUCUUUUUAAUGUAUUACAUCCUAAAAGGUUCAUGCGUACUUGACCCCAAGUCCAGACAAUUAACCAACCUAUCUUGGCAACUCUGGAACAUGGCACGGCCACGCUGCAUUUAUGCCUUGGAGUGGCACAAAAACCCUACUCCCUGACCAUCCCAGAUCUGAGUUUUUCAAACUCUUUUCAACUCCUACCAUGCUAAGAUUCUUUUAAACAGCAAACACAUCAAACAACAUCAGGAGUUUGGAAUCAUUAAACCAAUUUAAGUCCCAUAAAUUUCUACUCUUUAAAACAAUUUAGUUCUCAUAUUAAUUUCCUUGUCAAACCAUACACAACUAAGUCGAACUAUUCAUAGCUAUAUUGAAUACCAAAUGGGACUUAUAUUAGAGUCUAAGGGACUUCAAUACACAUGCUCUAAUACUCAGUACCUACAGAAAAUGCCUUGAAUUGAAGGGACUUAUAUUCGCGCUGGUCUUUGGCCUUGGAAGUGGCACGGCCGUGCCACUUCGUUAUCAGCUUUAUUCUUGUUUGCUAUCUACAAAACCCAGAAUUUAAGCCUCAUAAUACUUCUUCUUUGCUUCCUAACUGCUAUAUCACAAAUCUAAUUGACCAAAACUAGUUUCUUCUUCCAAUUCAUAUUGCACAGUACCAUUUACAUCAUUUGUAUUCUUUUAAUUCCAUGUUUUUUUUAGAAAAUAUCUUCACUUGGGUAUUAUGUCAAAUAACUUACAGAAGUAAGAUAGAAACUCAUAUUGGAAUAAAGUUCCAAUUAUUUUCUAGACUAGAUUUCCGAUUGAAAUGAAUCUUUUUAUUAUAACUUCUAACACAUACUUUCAAUAACCAACCAAAUCAUACAACUAAACACAGAGUAUAAGAUCAUGUAUUACCUUGUUCAGUGCUGAAUUUCCUUGCUUAAAGAUUUGCUUCCAAUUGCUUCAAUCCCCCUUCUAAUCAAUACUUUAUUUAACUGCUCUUCAGAUUUCAGUUUGUUAGCACAAUUCUUUAAGAAUUUAUGUAGUCUAUAUGAGUUGGUAGAAAGAGAGUUUGCCACUCCUCGAAGAAACUGGAGAAGGUCUGGAUUUGGGUUUUUAUAGAAUUGCUUGCUAAUCUUGUUGAGCACGUUCA
rnacentral:lncRNA from 1 species